rnacentral:rRNA from 1 species
CCUACGGUGGGCAGCAGUGGGGAAUAUUGGACAAUGGGGGGAACCCUGAUCCAGCGACGCCGCGUGAGUGAAGAAGUAUUUCGGUAUGUAAAGCUCUAUCAGCAGGGAAGAAAAUGACGGUACCAAAGGAAUAAGCCCCGGCUAACUACGUGCCAGCAGCCGCGGUAAUACGUAGGGGGCAAGCGUUGUUCGGAAUGACUGGGCGUAAGGGGUGUGUAGGUGGUUUGAUAAGUUAGAUGUGUAAUACCCAGGGCUUAACUCGGGUGCUGCAUCUAAAACUGUUAGACUUGAGUACUGGAGAGGAUAGUGGAAUUCCUAGUGUAGCGGUGGAAUGCGUAGAUAUUAGGAGGAACAUCAGUGGCGAAGGCGACUAUCUGGACAGCAACUGACACUGAGGCACGAAAGCGUGGGGAGCAAACAGGAUUAGAUACCCCAGUAGUC